rnacentral:rRNA from 1 species
AGUCGAACGAAGUAGCAAUACUUAGUGGCAGACGGGUGAGUAACAUGUAGGUAUCUGCCCUUUGGCCUGGAAUAACACGAGGAAACUUGUGCUAAUACCGGAUAAGUCUUUACGGAGAAAGCUUUAUGCACCAUUGGAUGAGCCUGCACUUGAUUAGUUUGUUGGUGGGGUAAUGGCCUACCAAGACUGUGAUCAAUAGCUGAUUUGAGAGGAUGAUCAGCCACAUUGGGACUGAGACACGGCCCAAACUCCUACGGGAGGCAGCAGUGGGGAAUCUUGCACAAUGGAGGAAACUCUGAUGCAGCGAUGCCGCGUGAGUGAAGAAGGCCCUUGGGUUGUAAAGCUCUUUCGUCGGGGAAGAAAAUGACUGUACCCGAAUAAGAAGGUCCGGCUAACUUCGUGCCAGCAGCCGCGGUAAUACGAAGGGACCUAGCGUAGUUCGGAAUUACUGGGCUUAAAGAGUUCGUAGGUGGUUGAAAUAGUUGGUGGUGAAAUCCCAGAGCUUAACUCUGGAACUGCCAUCAAAACUUUUCAGCUAGAGUAUGAUAGAGGAAAGCAGAAUUUCUAGUGUAGAGGUGAAAUUCGUAGAUAUUAGAAAGAAUACCAAUUGCGAAGGCAGCUUUCUGGAUCAUUACUGACACUGAGGAACGAAAGCAUGGGUAGCGAAGAGGAUUAGAUACCCUCGUAGUCCAUGCCGUAAACGAUGUGUGUUAGACGUUGGAAAUUUAUUUUCAGUGUCGCAGGGAAACCGAUAAACACACCGCCUGGGGAGUACGACCGCAAGGUUAAAACUCAAAUGAAUUGACGGGGACCCGCACAAGUAGUGGAGCAUGUGGUUUAAUUCGAAGAUACGCGCAGAACCUUACCAACACUUGACAUGUUCGUCGCGACUCUAAGAGAUUAGAGUUUUCGGUUCGGCCGGACGAAACACAGGUGCUGCAUGGCUGUCGUCAGCUCGUGUCGUGAGAUGUUGGGUUAAGUCCCGCAACGAGCGCAACCCUCACUUUUAGUUGCCAUCAUUUAGUUGGGCACUCUGAAAGAACUGCCAGUGAUAAGCUGGAGGAAGGUGGGGAUGACGUCAAGUCCUCAUGGCCCUUACGUGUUGGGCUACACACGUGCUACAAUGGUAUCUACAACAGGAAGCAAGACUGCGAAGUUAAGCAAAUCCCUAAAAGAUACCUCAGUUCGGAUUGCACUCUGCAACUCGAGUGCAUGAAGCUGGAAUUACUAGUAAUCGUGGAUCAGCGUGCCACGGUGAAUGCGUUCCCGGGUCUUGUACACACCGCCCGUCACACCAUGGGAGUUGGUUCUACCUUAAG